AUUAAAUUCAUCUUUAAUUCCAUCUUUAAUUCCUUUUCCAAGUGUUAUAUAAUUUAUACGGGUUAAAUAGCUAGCUUUUGAUAUUAAUCGUGUCUUACUCCCCUAGUCUAUCAUCAACUGUUUAGAUGAAAUUUGGUUUAGUUUGCUUGUGCUUUUUGCACAGUGUCUUCUUGUUACUUUCUACCAGCUUCAAAUCAACUUCACCAAUAAUACAUUAUGGCUGAUAGUGUUUUCAACAAGAGUACACAGUUUCUUAAGAUGCCUUUCCAUUUUAGAUCAAAACGAGUUUUUGCUAAACUUUACCUUUUCAUUCUAAUCAACGAGUUCUUUUCUACUAAAAUAUAACUAGUGUCUGACCUUUACUUGGAAAUUUUUUUCUAGGAUCCCUCCAAUUUAUUGAGGAUGUGGACUACAGUUAUCUGGGAGUGUUUAUUUCAU